rnacentral:rRNA from 1 species
UACGGAGGGUGCAAGCGUUAAUCGGAAUUACUGGGCGUAAAGCGUACGUAGGUGGUUUGUUAAGUUGGAUGUGAAAGCCCAGGGCUCAACCUUGGAACUGCAUUCAAAACUGGCGAACUAGAGUAUGGUAGAGGUGAGUGGAAUUUCCUGUGUAGCGGUGAAAUGCGUAGAGAUGGGAAGGAACAUCAGUGGCGAAGGCGACUCACUGGACCAAUACUGACACUGAGGUACGAAAGCGUGGGUAGCAAACAGGAUUAGAUAACCCGAGUAGUCC